CGGAAGGGUGAGUAAUGCCUAGGAAAUUGCCCUGAUGUGGGGGAUAACCAUUGGAAACGAUGGCUAAUACCGCAUAAUACCUUCGGGUCAAAGAGGGGGACCUUCGGGCCUCUCGCGUCAGGAUAUGCCUAGGUGGGAUUAGCUAGUUGGUGAGGUAAUGGCUCACCAAGGCGACGAUCCCUAGCUGGUCUGAGAGGAUGAUCAGCCACACUGGAACUGAGACACGGUCCAGACUCCUACGGGAGGCAGCAGUGGGGAAUAUUGCACAAUGGGCGCAAGCCUGAUGCAGCCAUGCCGCGUGUGUGAAGAAGGCCUUCGGGUUGUAAAGCACUUUCAGUCGUGAGGAAGGUAGUGUAGUUAAUAGCUGCAUUAUUUGACGUUAGCGACAGAAGAAGCACCGGCUAACUCCGUGCCAGCAGCCGCGGUAAUACGGAGGGUGCGAGCGUUAAUCGGAAUUACUGGGCGUAAAGCGCAUGCAGGUGGUUUGUUAAGUCAGAUGU
rnacentral:rRNA from 1 species